CCUCAUUCUUACCUAAGGGUUGUGUGAGACCCCUUCUCCAAAGCUUUUUGCAUCUUAAGAAAGAUAAUUCCUAGGAAAGGUGCCUCACCUGGGUCAUAGCCAGUGGAAAAAGGAAAGCUUAUGAUAUCUCCUGGUCUGGUAUUAAGAGGCCAGGCUGGAAAAGGAAGGCACCAUUUCCAUCAUAUUCUUCUGGAGAGAACUUAGUCUCAUCUUCUUCACAGAAGAUGGGGAAAGGUGGCCCAGCUGGUCAGCCCUGUGCCUGGCUGCAUUUCUGUUACUAUGGAAGGAGGGAAAAAGGAAAGCCAGCAGUGCAUGUCACGCUUACAUAAGUAUUUAGCUGUGUAAAUUGAAGUGUUGAGAGCCAAGACUUCACUUAGUCUCUGGAUGCCACAGCUCCCUCCAUCAGGAAACUUAAGACCAACUCCAUUUGAUCUGAUCAGAGGACGUCUAUAAGGACCAACACAGUGUCACAUUCAAAAGCAUCUUUCUCCCCCUCCAAUCAACCAGUGUCCUGGGGCCUUCUUACCUCUGGGCAAGUUCUUUGCUAUCUUGGGUUCUCCUAGAGGUGGACAAUGAUCUUCCUUUUGGUUGAGAGUCCUAAUUGAGGAGCCUUAAGAUCUGACCAUUUGUCUAAAAGUCCUCUAGAUAACUUCUCCCAAGUUUACAUUGGUCCUUAUGCAAAUACACCUCCAAAUGGCCCAUCCCAGAAUGUCAGAAUUUCUUAACUGUACCCUGGAAACAGAGUCUCAGGGCAAACCAAGAAUGUGUCCUGGAGUGGACUACCCGAAGCACAGUACUUAUACAUUCUCUUUCACAGAAAAUGAGAAGGUGGCCGAGAAGGAAAGGUGACAUUCUUACAACUCUAAAUGGUGCUCAGUGUUGUUAUAAAUAAGAUAAAGCAAAUAUGUGGUUCAGGUAUAUAGGGUAAAAGAUUAACAUGUGUGUAGGCAUCUCGGGGUCUGGGGAGGGAUGAUUGAUUUUAUCUUGCCUAUAUUCUUCAUCUAUAGGCAAGGUUGUCAUCAACACAGGUCAGUGGAAUAUUUGACAUAUUCUAGGCUUGCAGGCUGAGAUUUCAGCUUUUGUUCAUAGGCCUAGUUUAUAUUAAUUGUUCACAGUUAUUAACUGUAUAUCCUGCCUGCAGCCAUCUUGGGCUGCCAUUUUUAAAAACUUUUUUCUUCAGCUUUUUCUUUCCUCCAGGAGUUGUGGUACACCACCCUCCCUGCAUGUAU